GAUGAACGCUAGCGGCAGGCUUAAUACAUGCAAGUCGAGGGGCAACGGGAUGUAGCAAUACAUUGCCGGCGACCGGCAGACGGGUGCGUAACACGUACGCAAUCUACCUCUAACUGGGGCACAACCCCGAGAAAUCGGGGCUAAUUCCUCAUAACAUUAUGAAGUGACAUCUCUUUAUAAUUAAAGUUCCGACGGUUGGAGAUGAGCGUGCGCCCGAUUAGCUAGUUGGUAAGGUAACGGCUUACCAAGGCAACGAUCGGUAGCUGGUGU
rnacentral:rRNA from 1 species